AAUUUUAGAUCAUUAUAAAGAAUUUAGAAAAGAGUGAUGGGAAAAUUUGAAAUGAAAAUUCUUGGAAUUAUAAUCAUGGUCAUGUUUCUAUUAAGUUUUACACAAGCCGAAUUAGAUAGCAAAAUUGAUGGAGUUUUAUGCAAAGUCAAGUGUGCAUUCAAAUGUGAACCUCAACAACCAUUUCUUAAAUUAUAUUCAAAAUGUAUGGAAGAUUGUCAAUCACAUUGCAGUCAACUAUCCUCUGAUCCUAUUUCUAAUUGUAUUACUAGUUGUCGCUUAAUGAAGUCCAUUGACAUCAACAUCGGUAUGUACAUUCUUAAAAUAUCUACUUAUUUUCAGGGUUUUAUAUUUUUUCUCUAUAUUUGAUUUCAUUAAUUAUUCUUUUUAUGAUUUUUAUAAUUGACUUUACUUGGUUAUGAUUUGACCAUUGAUUUUACUUGCUUCUCAGGUUCUCAUGAUCUUGUGAAGAACGUGAUGAAUACUUGCAUGCAAGAGUGCAAAAAAAAGUUAUAAUUUGUAACAUGAGUGAGAAAUUGUUAGAAGAAAUGAUAUUUCUACACAAUUGCGAGAAAUAAAUCUUGAUCAAUAAAUAUUAUUUGUUAACUAUUAUCAAGAAAAAUUCUUAGAUCUUCAUUUAAUUUUUAUUUUAAAACGUUAUCAUCCAAUUCUAUUAAGAAAAACAAUUAGAACAUGUUCUCCAAAGAAAGAAAGUGAUAUGUAAAUUGUGAGUCGAAGUAUUAAGAUGAUAUAAUGUGAAUCAUGAAUAUAAAUAUAUAUAUAUAUAUAAUUUGAGUAAUUUUAAAAAUAUAAAAUUAAUUUAUACUUUUUAAAUACACAAAAUAUAAAUUGAAUUAAUGAAUUUUGUUUUAUUUGUAUGGUUGAAUGAGUUGUUAUAGUUAAUGAUUAUACUUAAAGGAAUAAAAAUUACUUUAAACAUGGUUUCUAUUUUCACAAUAAACUUUUUAAAUAUUGUCAUGGUAUAGGAGUAAAGAAUCCAUGUAAUAGAGUAGUCCAUCUUUAAUUUCAAUUAAAUUGUAGAUGAUUCGGUUUAUUCAAGUUUAGAAAUUAGUUGGUAUUGAGUUAGUAGACGAAACAAUACUCAUUAGAUAAUCUCAUGAUUACGUGCCUACAUGUUUUGAUGAUAACAAACACCAUAAGGUGUAUUAUGAUAUGAAAAGCUUAUUCAUGUGUAUCACAAGAUUAGACAAAAAUAAAAGAGAAAGUGAGCGAGACUCACUAGACGAUACAAUAUGAGAAAAGGUUGUUAGACAAAAACUGUGUAAAUGUUGUGUAGACGAUCUAAUCUUCAUGUUCACUCUUGAAAUGAAUAUAGUCAAAGUGAAUAAUAAAAAGGAUAAAAGACCAUAAGAUGAAAUAACAUCAUAUAAGACGAAGAACUCGUCAAACAAAGAUAUAUAUCAAACGAAGUUCGUUGAGAGAAUGUGUUAGGCGAAGAUUAGACGAUGAAGCUUUUUAACGUUCUCUCCCUUUUUGGGCCUCUGUUUUCUUUGCUUACUCAAGCCCUUUAGGCUAUUAAAUUUUUGUCUGAUGCAGGUAUGUUGAGUACCAAACCAGCUAGAACAUCCAUGGUCAAGAAAAAAUGAGAGAUUAUUUUAUCAAAACACUCUAGUCCAUGAUAAUACUGCAUACCGAAGAGUCAUUGGAAGACUGUUGUAUUUGGUCAAUACUAGAUCGGAUAUAAGUUUUCCUAUGCAAUUCCUUAGCCAAUUUGUUGAAGCAACUUCAGAGUUGCACCAUCAAGUUGCCUAGAGAAUCCUAUCAAAAUCACUGGAUAAUGCAUUUAUUGAUUUAAUGCAAAAACUUAGACAUUUAUUGAUUUUAAUUUUUUAUAAGCUAUGACCCAAGCCUAAUUUGAAAAAUUAGAAUUUAAUAAUAUAUUUUGGUGUGACGAGAUUAAUAGAAUUAUUUAUUCUCAAUUUUGGGUUAUUUUUAGGAAUUUAAGGAGAGAUGAAGAAAGAGAUAUAUUAUGAAUAAAGUGUUAGAAUGAAUGGUCUGAACAAGAGGGGAGGUGAAUUGUUUGACAAAAGAUUUUCGCAAAGAUUGGCUAAGAAUGAAGUUUUAUCUACAAUCACAGAAGGAGCAAUCAGGGAAGCCAAACAAUCAAAGCAAUUACAACUGUUUGCAGAAAAACUAUCGAUUGAAAUCUCGUUUAAACUGGUUGUUUAUAGUGAGGAUGAAGGAUAUAUAGGCUUGUGAAUCAUGGAAUCCAUUCAAACCCUAAGUUUCUUUUAUUAGUUUUUUUUUCUUUACUUUUUUUUUCUUUUAUUUUUAAAGAUAUUUAUUUUUUCUUUGUUUAAAAUAUUUAUUGUUUUUCUUUUAUUUCUAAAAAUUAAAUAUUUUUUCUUUAUUUUAAAUUUUUUGUUUUUCUUUUAUUUUUAAAAAUUAGUUUUUUUUCCUUAUUUUUAAAUUUUAUGUUUUUCUCUUAUUUGGCAUUUCUAAAUUAUAGAAAAUAUUAUUUUCGAAUAAGAUUAAUGUACUUGAAUCAGAUUUUGAAUUGUUUCUAUAUCAAAUAUUUUUUGAAAUAUAAUUAAUGAGAUAUUAAUUACACUUCAAUGAUUUGGAUCAAUGUUAACUUGGAAAGUUUUUUUAAUACAGAAUUAACUCUGGAAUAAUUGAAUAUAAAAAGUUUAUAUAAUGAGAAGUAUUACCGGACAAAAUCAUUAUUAGACUUAAUUAGACUUAAUUACAGGAAUAUAAUCACUAUUAAUGAGUCUAUAAUUAGACUUAAUUAUAGGAAUAUAAUCACUGUUAAUGGGUGUCUAUAAUUAGUCUUAAUUACAGAUGUUAUGUUAAGAAAAGAAUUUGUACGGUUGUAAUGUAUCAUUGCUAUAGAUGAAAGACAGAUUAAAUAAAACAUAAAAUAUUCUUUCCUGGUAUUAGAGCACAAAACUCUGAUACCCGACAAACACAAAGCAAAGGCAACGGUGCACAACCAUGGCAGCUGCACCAGAAAAGAAUAAUGCCAACAAAGCAGAGCACGAAGGAGGAGGUGCUAAGAAGACCUACUCGCCAUAUGAUCUCAACGCGAGUGACAAUCCCGGAAACAUAAUCACGCAAGUCCAAUUGUGCGGAGAAAAUUACGACGAAUGGGCAAGAGCAGUAAAGAUCUCGCUUCGUGCCCGGAGAAAAUGGGGCUUCAUUGAUGGAACACAUAUCCAACCAGAGGAUGAGGCACCCGACCUUGAAGAUUGGUGGACCGUGCAGUCCAUGAUUGUCUCUUGGAUUCUAAACACCAUUGAACCAAGCUUACGAUCCACAGUAGCAUAUGCUGAGACUGCACAUAACUUGUGGGAAGACAUUAAAGAAAGAUUCUCGGUCGUGAAUGGACCUAGAAUUCAACAACUAAGGUCGGACUUGUCAAGAUGCAAGCAGGAGGGAAUGGUGGUGGCAACUUACUUUGGAAAAUUGAAGGUCCUUUGGGAUGAGCUUGCUAACAGUGACAAAAUUCCAUCUUGUACGUGUGGUGGAUGCAAGUGUGGGAUUGGUGCUCAGUUGGAAAAACGAAGGGAGGAGGAGAAGGUUCAUCAACUCCUUAUGGGGUUGGAUGACGCAAGCUACGGGACAGUAAGAUCAAACAUUCUGGCCUCAGACCCAUUGCCGUCUCUGAACCGCGUAUAUGCUAUGUUGGUACAAGAAGAAAGAGUGAGAAUGAUGGCCAAAUCAACGGAAGAAAGGGGGUUGGUCGUGGGUCUCGCGAUGCAGGCCAACUACAAAGAAAAAAGGCGUGGAGAUAUGGUAGAAAAAUUAAUGACGUGCAGUCAUUGCGGUAAAAAUGGUCACGACAUGAAGGGAUGCUUCCAAUUGAUCGGAUAUCCCGAAUGGUGGGGUGACAGACCAAAAAGUGAAGGCAAAUGGAACGGCAGGGGACGCCAAGGGAUGCGAAACAAAGGUAACCCGACACGUGCAAAUGUGGCACACGCUAGUGGAAGCAACAGUCAAGCCAACAAUGACGACAAUAAACUUGAGAUGGCAGGUCUGACCAAUGAACAAUGGAAGGUACUGGUUGAUAUGAUCAGCAAACAAAAAUCAAAUGAAUCAGAGAAAAUGACUGAUAAGAGCAUUUGAGAUUUGUGGAUUAUUGACAGUGGGGCAUCAAACCAUAUGACCGGGUCACUGGAAAAUUUGAGUGAAAAGGAAACUAUACAAGGGUGCCCCGUGGGGUUACCCGAUGGUGAANNNNNNNNNNNNNNNNNNNNNNNNNNNNNNNNNNNNNNNNNNNNNNNNNNNNNNNNNNNNNNNNNNNNNNNNNNNNNNNNNNNNNNNNNNNNNNNNNNNNNNNNNNNNNNNNNNNNNNNNNNNNNNNNNNNNNNNNNNNNNNNNNNNNNNNNNNNNNNNNNNNNNNNNNNNNNNNNNNNNNNNNNNNNNNNNNNNNNNNNNNNNNNNNNNNNNNNNNNNNNNNNNNNNNNNNNNNNNNNNNNNNNNNNNNNNNNNNNNNNNNNNNNNNNNNNNNNNNNNNNNNNNNNNNNNNNNNNNNNNNNNNNNNNNNNNNNNNNNNNNNNNNNNNNNNNNNNNNNNAGUGGGAAAUGUACUCGUGAUGAGUUGAAUAAAGUUUGUGAAGUUUGUGAAAAAUCGAAACAAACGAGAGAUAAGUUUUUCUUAAGUGCGCAUCAAGCUUUGAAUAUUUUUUAUUUAAUUCAUUGUGACUUAUGGGGUCCUUAUAAAACUCCUUCAUCCUGUGGUGCUUCAUAUUUUUUUACAAUUGUGGAUGAUUGUUCACGGGCAGUUUGGAUCUAUUUGUUAAAAGAAAAAACAGAGGUAUCAGUGACUUUGAAAAAAAAUUUCACACUCGUUGAGAGGCAAUACAACAAAUGUGUUAAAAUGGUUUGCUCUGACAAUGGAACCGAAUUCAUGUGUCUAAAACAAUAUUUCAUUCAACAAGGUAUCCUUCACCAAACUUCAUGUGUCGGGACCCCGCAACAAAAUGGACGCGUCGAACGCAAGCAUCGGCAUAUUCUGAAUGUUGCUCGGUCAUUACGGUUUCAAGGCAAUCUUCCCAUUAAAUUUUGGGGGGAAUGCGUUUUGACUGCAGGCUACUUAAUCAAUCUCACACCAUCCUCCAUUCUAAAAGGAAAAACCCCUUAUGAAGUGAUCCAUGGAUGUGUACCCAGUUACGCGCACUUACGAGUAUUUGGUUCAUUAUGUUAUGCUCAUAAUCAAAAUAGACAGCGGGAUAAAUUUGAUAGUCGUAGCCGAAAAUGUGUGUUUGUCGGGUAUCCAUAUGGCCAAAAAGGAUGGAAAUUAUUUGAUUUGGAAACAGAAACUUUCUUUGUCUCUCGUGAUGUACAUUUUUUCGAAAAUAAAUUUCCAUAUUUUGAAGCCAAAAAGAUGGACACUGCACCACCAUUGCAAAACCCAAUUGUUGCCAACUCUUUAGAAACUGGAAUGGACCCACAUUUUCUUCAUGAAGUUGCCUCCUCAAACCUAGAUGAAUGCAUCGUCAACCAACCCAUUGCAUCUCUCAUCCUAGCCAAGGAGGAUGCUACCCUCACAGAUGACUUCGACCACACUAUCAACGACUCUGAUCCGUGCAUAGAAGCCUCGACGCUACCCGCGGAUCCACUACCGCGUCCGACGGAGACGGCGCCGUCGGUUUCUUCACCACCGCUGACGGUCGCGGUUCCCCUUGGGCGAGGGCAUCGCGCGAAGCUGCCUUCUGUACGGUUACGCGAUUUUGUCGCAGCCACCACGAUACCGUCAAGCCCCUCUGUUCCGUCACCUCCUUCAACAGAAUCCUCAGGUGUUUCGUAUCCUAUACAUGAUUUUGUGAAUUGUGAUUCCUUUUCUAAACAUCAUCAAAGUUNNNNNNNNNNNNNNNNNNNNNNNNNNNNNNNNNNNNNNNNNNNNNNNNNNNNNNNNNNNNNNNNNNNNNNNNNNNNNNNNNNNNNNNNNNNNNNNNNNNNNNNNNNNNNNNNNNNNNNNNNNNNNNNNNNNNNNNNNNNNNNNNNNNNNNNNCUUGGGUGUAAAUGGAUCUACAAAAUCAAAUACAACUCGGAUGGAACAAUUGAAAGAUUCAAGGCUCGAUUGGUAAUUCUUGGCAAUCAUCAAGUGGAGGGUUUGGAUUACAACGAGACGUUUUCUCCUGUCGUAAAGACGGUAACCAUUCGCACAACUCUAGCAGUAGCAGCCGCAAAAGAUUGGGAGCUUCAUCAGAUGGACGUUCACAAUGCGUUUCUCCAUGGUGAUCUUGAUGAUGAGGUUUAUAUGAAACUCCCUCCUGACUUCCAAGAAUCUCAACCAGGGGCAGUGUGCAAGCUUCAAAAGUCUCUAUAUGGCCUCCGACAGGCCCCCAGGUGUUGGUUUGCUAAACUAUCUUCUUCUCUCACUCGUUACGGCUUCCAACAAUCCCCGAAGGAUCAUUCCCUGUUUACUCUCAAUAAUAAUGACAUACAGUUGGUUGUGCUAGUCUAUGUUGAUGAUCUUGUGAUUGCAGGGAAUAAUGGUACUGCCAUCCAAUGUUUUAAAGGCUACUUAAAUCAAUGCUUUCAUAUGAAAGAUUUAGGCCGCCUCAAGUACUUCCUGGGGUUGAAGUUGUUCGCUCCCCCAACGGAAUCUUCCUUUGUCAAAGGAAAUAUGCCUUAGAUAUCAUUACUGAAGUCGGAUUGUUGGGUGUGAAGCCCGCCACUACACCAUGUGAAGAAAAUCACAAAUUGAGCUCCGCAACUGGUUCUUUUCUUUCUGACCCGGCUACUUAUCGUAGACUUGUUGGGAGGUUAAUUUAUCUGUGUUUCACUCGACCUGACCUUGCCUACACAAGCUUUAUCUCAAUUUAUGCAAAAUCCACGCUCCGAGCAUUGGCAAGCUGCUCUUCGUGUUGUUCGAUAUUUAAAGGGGCAUCCUAGACAAGGAAUACUCCUACCUCGAGAGAACAACUUACAACUCUUUGGGUGGUGUGAUUCUGAUUGGGCAAGUUGUCCACUGACACGGAAAUCUCUCACCGGAUGGUUUAUUCAACNNNNNNNNNNNNNNNNNNNNNNNNNNNNNNNNNNNNNNNNNNNNNNNNNNNNNNNNNNNNNNNNNNNNNNNNNNNNNNNNNNNNNNNNNNNNNNNNNNNNNNNNNNNNNNNNNNNNNNNNNNNNNNNNNNNNNNNNNNNNNNNNNNNNNNNNNNNNNNNNNNNNNNUUGUGAUAGUCAAGCAGCACUUCACAUUGCUAAAAACCCGGUCUUCCACGAACGCACCAAACACGUUGAAGUUGACUGCCACCUUGUUCGAGAUGAAAUCAUUCACAAGCGCCUUCUUCCAUCCUAUGUGCCCACACAUACACAACUAGCUGACCUUUUCACCAAAGCUCUCGGUGCUAAAAAGUUUGGAGCCAUCUUGGUCAAGUUGGGCAUUCAAGACUUACAUGCUCCAACUUGAGGGGAGGUAUUACCGGACAAAAUCAUUAUUAGACUUAAUUAGACUUAAUUACAGGAAUAUAAUCACUAUUAAUGAGUCUAUAAUUAGACUUAAUUAUAGGAAUAUAAUCACUGUUAAUGGGUCUAUAAUUAGUCUUAAUUACAGAUGUUAUGUUAGGAAAAGAAUCUGUACGGUUGUAAUGCUAUGGUUAUAUAUAUGUAUCAUUGCUAUAGAUGAAAGACAGAUUAAAUAAAACAUAAAAUAUUCUUUCCAAGAAAUUCAAAAAUAUUGUUUUGGUGAUUCCCACAAAUUAUAUUGUAAAUUAAAUAAUUAUUCUCUUAUUUGUAUUUUGUUCCGAUAAGCUAUUAAAGGAAAUAUAAAACCCACACAAAGCUGGAAACACAAGUUUUCUUUCUAAGGAAGAAUCGUUUAAUGGUUAAAAUUUAUGUUAUGGUUUAUAUUGAAGCUCACUUAGACAACCACUGGAGCUUACACGUGACAGAUUAGUAUUUUGAGAAUAUAAGGUCUCCAUAAUUCGAAGAUAUUAAAAGUAUUAUUCAGUGAUACCCAUGUUUUAUUAUGAUGAUUAUUAUGUCCAUUGAUAAUUUUAAUGUUUCUAGAAAUGGUUAAAGGAACAACAUCUAACAAGCAAGGAGCAAUGUGUAUGAAGUUGACAUAUGAAGUUUCCUUAUUGGCCAUCUAACAUGAAAGAGAUGAAGUUGAAAAGAGAUACUUGCAUUGAUGAAUAUUGAAGCCAUUUCAAGAUGCUAAUAACUAAGAUUUCAAAGAGAAAGACGUUUACAAACAAGUGAUACAACACAUUAAAAGACUCAUAUAUAAACUUUCCUAUUUGAGUGUCUAAUACAAAGAAGACAAUGAACAAUGCUGAAAAGAGAAAGAUUCAUGUCCAAAAUUGCAAAAGCCUUAAAGUUCAAGUUUAUACAGAUAAAGAUAAAGAAAUAAUUUGAAAGGACAAGUAUAUGUUAAAGACACCAAAUUACAACAAAGGUAAUGUUUUUGAAGAAGAACAAUAUGGCAUAUUUCUACGGUUGAUCAAGUUAAGAAGAUUAAAGCUAAAACGUUCACAUUUAAAGAAUAUAAAAUAAGAUUUUGAAAUACUCACACGUUCAAGGUGCGGAAGAAUCAAUCAGAGCAACAGCUUCUAUUUUGACUAUGUGAAGAGUGGACAUUACAAAGCUUCAACGAUCACAUUUCAGAAGACUAUAUAUAUAAAACCUUGAAGAUGAAGAAUACAACAAAAACGUGUACAUAAAUACUUUUUAGGGUUGAUUGUAGAUAGAUUUAGUCUUUUAAUGUGUCACUUACUUAGAAUGGAAACACUUACAUUUUUACCUGCUCUCCAGGAACAUCAGUUGGUCUCAUAGUUAUUAAAAACAUUUAUCUAAUUAUACAUUUAUCUAAUUAUAAAAAAUAUAUUUUAUAAAAAUAAUAAAUUAGUCUAAAAACAUUUAUCUAAUUAUACAUUUAUCUCUAGAGUAAAAAAUACAGAAAAUAAUAUAUUUUAUAAUUUUUGAGUUACAAUUGAUUAUUUUUUGGACAUUGUUCAUCCAAGUAUACUAUUUUUUAUACAAUUUAUAUAGUACGUUGAAUAUUAAAACUCGAAAUUAUUUUACUAAAAUCACACGUCCUUAAUCACCUUUGUCUUCAAAUAUUAUUAACGUCAUUUAAAAUCUUAAAACGUUCUAAUAUAAUAACAAUAAAUAUAAUAUUAAUUGAAUAUACAGUAUAGUCAAAUCAUUAAAUAUAAAUAUUAAAACAUAAAUUAUUAUAUAUUAUUAUCAAUUAAUCAUCAUUAAUAAAUAUUAUCAGUGUAUGUUUAAGGUAUAUGUGCUUUGAAUAUGUUCUAUAAACAAGUUAUUUAUAUUCUAAACGAAUUAAAGCAGUUAUUUUUAAAUUUAAAUAUUUUUGUUACCCGAAUAGAUUUUUUUUUUUUUAAAAACAAUUACAUUUUAUUCAAAUUUAUUAUAUAUUUUUUUUUAUCAUAAUUAUUGUAUAUUAUUAUAAAAUUGACGUUUGAAAAUUAUUACAAAUUACAUUUACCAAAUAUAGAAUGCAUCCAAAUAAUUAGAGAUAAUAUUUUUUAUCCAUAAAAUUGAACAUCUGAGUGAGGGGUAUAUUGAAUUGAGCUAGAUCCUCCUUAUAACAUACUGAUAAUAAUUUAAGUGAAAAUUGGUAAAAUUGAGUAUUGAAUAUGUGAAGUAUAUAUAAUCACUUCUUCCUUUAAACAAGCUCUCAUAUAUUAAAUUUAUUAUUGUACUUAAACAAGUUAUGAAAAAUACCUUUAUAUAAUAUAAUUAUAAAAAUAAAAAAAUAAUCAUUUUAAACAAAUUAUGAAAAAUAUCUUUAUAUUUCAAAAACAAAACUGAAACAUAUUUAUAUAUAUAAUUCAUAAUUAUAUAAUAUAUAAAUUUAUGUUAUUUUCUACAAUUUAAAGAUUAUACUAUCUCGGUUCGUCUCGUAUAUCUGGUUUUACCCUUUACAAUAAUAAAAAAAAUAGAUUAAUAAUUAUUGAUUUUAGAAAGAAAAUUUGGAUUUUAAAAGUAUUGAAUUUGAAAACAUAUAAAGAAUCCAAAUUCUUACAAUUUUACCUUUUACGUAACUACUUUUUCUCAAAUUCAAAUAUUAUUUUUAAUAAAAACAACUACCUACACAAUAAAAACAUUACAGAGACAACAAAAUUAAAAACACAUUAUUUAUUAUUAUAAUUACUUUUAGUAAAAAUAUUUUUUAUAAUUUAAUAAUAUAUUUUGAUUUCAAUAGUGAUUAUAACAACAUGUAUUUAAGAUUAUUCAUGUUUUAAUAAAAAAUAAUUAAUUAAUUAAUUUAAAAAAUAUAUUUUUAUAAUUUACUUUUAUUUCAAAACUAUUAAGUAUUUAAUCUAUUAGAAAUAACGGUUAUAUAUAUAUAAUAGAAAUUUUUACCUUUUAAUAUCUAUAAUUCAUUCUUUAAACAAAAAACAUGUUAUAAUUUAAUAAAUAAAUUCAUUAUCACAAAAUUUAUUUUUAAGUAUAAAUUGUAGAUAAGCUUAAAUAAAUCCAUGAACACUAAAUAAUUUAUUAUUACAAUAUUAUAAGAUUUUCAAACUUUAAAUUAGCAGUUUAUAUAUAUCAAAAUUUGUAAUGGCAUUUGAAAAGUUAUGUAACACCCCGAAAAUACAUCUAACUAUUUAAAAUGUUAUCCUUACAAAAUUAGAGUUUUUCAAAACAUUCCUAAUACAUGAUUAUGACAUAUAGAAAUAUAAAUAUUUACCAUAUAAGUUUCAAAUCAACACCCUAAAACUCUUAAGACCCUCCUACACCCUGUAAUAUAUCAUCUGCUCAUGUACGUAGUACAGUCAUCGCAGUUCAAACACAGCAAGAGUAAGCUAGUGAAAAGAAAUUUCAUAUCUUAUCUAUUUUUUUUUUGUAAAAAGAAUCAAUCAAACGAAUCAUUUAUAAACAUUUCUUUAAAUGUUGUCAUAUAAAAUUUCAAUAUCAAUUUCAUCAUUCAUAUAGACCACACAUGGAUCUAUUUUCAAUCACAAUCAUUGGAUUUCAUUUCAAUCCCACUUCAUCUUCCGGAAGACUCAUUAAGUAUGCCCCUAACACCUAAUCCAAAGAUUACCAACACAUCUAAUAGAAAGGAUCAGGGUAAGUUCAAACAUCCAAUACCGAGUGUCUACAGCAGGACCCGGCCGGUGUGUAUGAACUCCCUCUUAGGUUCUCACCACCACCUGAUAUCUUAGUCUAUAUGACUUACAUCAUCAGUGAAGCCAGAUGAUCUCUGUUAAACAUAGACUUUUCAUACUUAAUGUACCAUCAAACAACAACUCAUACAUUAUCCCAAACGUAUGACAUCAAUUUCAUACAAUUCACAUCAUUCAUAUAUAAAACAUAUCAUUCAAUCACAUAACAUUUAAAAUAUAAUUCAAGAACGUUUCCAAUAUCAAAAACAAUAUUUAACUCUCAAACUAUCAGAAUAUAAUAUUUAUAAAUUUUAAAUAAUAUCUAAACAAACACACAAUAUAUAAACAAACACACAAUAUAUAAACAAACAACAUCCAUGGAAGAGAAAUUGAAUACUGGGAUCAUGUCCCCUCAAUAUUCAGAUCUCCUAGCCUAGGGUAUUAUUGAGAGUUAAAGUUAGUUUCCCUUACCUUAAAAGGGCUUGCUUUCCAAACAACUUUUAGAAUAAAAAAAAGGUAAAGAGGAAAAUGAUGGGACAGGGGCUGUUGGUUUUUAUUUACGAGGGUUACAAUUUACAUUGCAUAUUAAUUCAAUAAAAUUACAAUUAUUAUAAACUUAUAAUAAUAAUAUAUCUAUAAUAAAGAAAACACAACAAAUUUAUAAAAAUAUUUAAAAAAUUGCCAACACAGUCAGGAUAAGACAUGUUUUUCUACUAGUAUUUUAUAAAUUAAAUGACAUUUAAUAUUUACAAAAUAUUUUAAUACUAUUUUUAAAAAUGAUACAUAGUCAAAAUAUUACAUUUAUUAUAGGUCUUGUUGGACCUAGACCAUUAAGAAAAGCGUUAUCAUGAAAUAUAAAUAGCAUUUAUUAAGUAACCUAUAACCGUUAGUAACUUAUAAUCGAUUUAUGGUCUAACUUAUGUGUUUUAAAUAUAAUAUUAAAUGGACAAUUAAUUUAUGUGCCUUAAAUAUUAUAUUAAAUAAGCGGUUAUUGAUUUGAAUGUACCCGGUCAUAAUUAGGGGUAUGUACAAUAUUAAUAAUUAGUAUUAGUAUAUUUCUUAUUAAAAUAUAUUUAUUAACUAAAUAUUUUUAAAGAGUAAGAAAAUAUUACAAAUUUUUUUCUAUAAAUUCAUGUUUAGCUUUCUUGAAAUACCACAAAAGAGAUUUAACAUUUCUUUUACAAAUUUUAUAUCCUUAGAAAAAAAUUAGAGAAGAGUGAUGGAAAAAAUUGAGAUAAAAGUUAUUGGAGUUAUAAUCAUGGUCAUGAGUCUAUUGAGUUUUACACAAGCUGAAUUAUAUGGUAAAACGGAUGGACUUUUAUGCAAAGUGAAGUGUGCAUUCAAAUGUGAACCUCAACUAGCAUUUCCUGGAUUAUAUUCAAAAUGCGUUGAAGAUUGUCGAUCACAUUGUAGUAAAUUAAACUCUGAUCCUAUUUAUAAUUGUGCUGGUAAUUGUCAAUUAAUAAAGUUCAUUGCCAACAAUAUCGGUACGUACUAUUGCUUUAUAAUUUUUCUAUAUUUGAUUUCAUUAAUUCUUUUUUCAUGAUUUUUUUAUAAUUAACGUGACUUGUGUAUAAGAUUUUGACCAUUUACUUUACCUACUUUUCAGGUGCUUAUGAGCUUGUGCAAAACGUGAAUAAUAAUUGCAUGCAAGAGUGUGUAAAGAAAUUAUAAUUUAUACGAAUUUUUGAGUGAAAAUUGUUAAAGGAAGUAAUAUUCUUACACAAUUAUGAGAAAUAAUCUUGAUCAAUAAAGAGUAUUUGUUAUCUAUUUAAAAAAAAAAUACCAACUAUAUGUCCCUUCGUUGUUUUUUUUUUUUCUUAUCUUCCUUUCUAUUGUUAAAAUUCUAUUAAGAAAGACAAUUAUAAAUAUUCUUAAAAGAAAGUCAUAUAUAAAUAUUAUGUGAGUUUGGGAUUAAGACGGUAUAAUAUGAAUAUGAAUAUAUUUGAAUGUAUAAAAUUAGAAUAACUAUAAAAAAUAAUUAAUUAAUUUAUUCUUUUCAAAUAAAAUAAAUAAAUAAACAUAACAUGUGACAACCUAUUCUUUUCAAUGACUAUAUUUUAUAAAAAAACAAAUUAAAUUUAAGAUAUUUAAUGAUAAUAUAAGAAUAUGCUAAAUUAAUAAUUAAGAAAUGAUAAAUGAGAAAGUUAUUUUGUAAUAAUAAAUGUAUUUUGACAACAUAGUAACAUAUCACAAUAAAUAAAGAAGAAUAUUCGCGUGUCAUUAGUUAUAUUUGUUUUCAUUAAAAGAGAAUAACGGCUUUUUGUUUUCGAUUAUAUACAUAACUAUCUAAAAUAUAUAAAAAGGUUGCUAAUAAUAAAAAUAUGCUACUAGAUAUUAUUGUAGAAAUUUCCUAAAAACUUUUGAUAUAAAAAUGAUACUUAUAUAAAUAAAAUAAACUAAUACAAAAUAUGUACAAAAUAAAGGAAAAAGUGGAUUAAAUUAUUUUAAUAAUUAGUAACAAUUGUACUUAUUUUACAUCUGCUCACUAAAUUCCUAACAAAUAAUUAAUUAAUUGAUUGAACAAUUACCUGCAUGAAAAUAGUUUAAAAAAUCUUCAAGUGUUUUAGUUAUAAUUUGUUUUGUAGAUAACUUGAGAGAGUGAAACGUCACAUUUUUGUAUAUUUUUCAAUGUUAUGAAGUGGUUUCCCUUGAGAAAUUCCAUAUUAAUGUGAAUCUUAUAAUUGAUUUUGAUUAAUAAAACCCUUUAGCAUUUAUAAUAAUUGAUUUUGAAUAAUGAAACUCUUUAGAAUUUAUAGAAAAGAAAUAGAGAUAAUUAAGUUUGGGGUGAGAGUAUAAAUUAUGUGUUAUUAUGGUUUGUUAUAACAAUUGUAAGAAUUUGGAUUCUUUAUCUGUUUUCAAAUUCAAUAUUUUUUAAAUACAAAUUUUCAUUUUAAAAUCAAUAAUUAUUAAACUGUUUUAUUUUAAUAUUAUAAAGGAUAAACAAGUAUGCUAAACCUGAUAUAAUUUAAAAUAUAGUAUUAUAACAAAAAAAUUAUACAUAAAAAAUAAAUAUACCGUAUAGUCAAAUCACUAAUAUAAAUAUUAAACCAUAAAUUAUUAUAUGUUAUUAUCAAUUUAUCAUCCUUAAUAAAUAUUAUCACUACAUAUUUAAAGUAUAGGCUUCGAAUAUGUUCUAAUAACCCGUUAUUUAUAUUUAAAAUAAUAAAGAAGUUAUUUCAAAUAAAUAUUUUUAUUAUAUUAUUAUAUAUACAAUAUGAAGCUUUUAUUGUAUAAUAGUUACAUUUGAUUGAAAUUAAUAAAUGUAUUAUGUUUAGAAAAUACAAAAUUAAUGUAUAUUAUGAUAAAUUUGACGGUUGAAAACUAUUAAGCAUUACAUUUACCAAAUAUAGUAUACAUCCAGAUAAAUAGAGAUAAAUUAUGUAUAUAUCAUUAAAUCAGCUUUAAUAUUUACAAACUAUUUACUCAAAAUGUUACAUUCGUUACAUAUAUUAAUAUUAAUUAUAGAAGAAAAUAGUAAAUAAAUUAUUAAUAUACAUUAUAUUAAUAUUUUUUCUUAGUAAAGUAUAUUUGACUAAUUGAAUAUUUUCAAAGAGUAAGAAAAUAUUACAUUAUUUUCUCUAUAAAUUCAUGUUUAGCUUUCUUGAAUUACCACCAGAGAGAUCUAACAUUUUAUACAAAUUUUAGAUCAUUAGAAAAAAUUUAGAGAAGAGUGAUGGGGAAAUUUGAAAUAAAAAUUCUUGGAGUUAUAAUCAUGGUCAUGUUUCUAUUAAGUUUUACACAAGCCGAAUUAGAUAGCAAAAUUGAUGGAGUUUUAUGCAAAGUCAAGUGUGCAUUCAAAUGUGAACCUCAACAACUAUUUCCUAAAUUAUAUUCAAAAUGUAUGGAAGAUUGUCAAUCACAUUGCAGUCAAUUAUCCUCUGAUCCUAUUUCUAAUUGUAUUACUAGUUGUCGCUUAAUGAAGUCCAUUGCCAUCAACAUCG
rnacentral:lncRNA from 1 species